UACGUAGGGGGCUAGCGUUGUCCGGAAUCAUUGGGCGUAAAGGGCGCGUAGGCGGCACGGCAAGUCAGGAGUGAAAGGCCUGGGCUCAACCGAGGAACUGCUUUUGAGACUGCCGAGCUAGAGUGCAGAAGGGGCAACUGGAAUUCCCAGUGUAGCGGUGAAAUGCGUAGAUAUUGGGAAGAACACCUGAGGCGAAGGCGGGUUGCUGGGCUGACACUGACGCUGAGGCGCGAAGGCCAGGGGAGCAAACGGG
rnacentral:rRNA from 1 species